rnacentral:rRNA from 1 species
UACGUAGGGUGCAAGCGUUGUCCGGAAUUAUUGGGCGUAAAGAGCUCGUAGGCGGUCUGUCGCGUCGGCUGUGAAAUCCCGAGGCUCAACCUCGGGUCUGCAGUCGAUACGGGCAGACUAGAGGUAUGCAGGGGAGAACGGAAUUCCUGGUGUAGCGGUGAAAUGCGCAGAUAUCAGGAGGAACACCGGUGGCGAAGGCGGUUCUCUGGGCAUUACCUGACGCUGAGGAGCGAAAGCGUGGGGAGCGAACAGG